rnacentral:misc_RNA from 1 species
AAAAAAGCUUCAUGAAAAGAGUCUGAAGGCUGCAUUCAUUUCAUGGAAAAAAAAUCCAUUGUUUAUAUAUGUCUAUAUAUAUAUAAGAGGAGUUAAAUUUGUAUACAAAUGAUCUCUAGUUGUCUAUGGUAGCUUGGGUCUGUUGGAGUUGGUCCAUUUACGCUGGAAAUCUGUGUCUGUCCUCUGAGAUCAGCUACAAAUUUAGAUAACAUUCUCCUCUUUCAAUCCCUAAGAAGAAGAUGACCUGCACCACAACUUCUUGUACAAAGUUCACAUUUUUCAUGGUAGCUGCACUUGUCUUCCAAAUCACUGGUCUCUCCCUCUUCGUUUUUGGCUUCUUCCCUGUCAAACCUGCUCUCUCGGGCGUCAGUGGUUGGGAGAGCUUUUUCGCACCGGGUUGCCAUCCCGUCGAGAAUCAGACUCAGACUCAGACUCAGACCGAGAUGGGUUUGUCUCCCCAUGAACUAAAAUCGCUAUAUCAGGUUUCUUUCUUUUGGCGAUUAAUAAUUGUGAUUUGAGCCUUUCUAGGUACUACCCACUGGCUGACUGGUAGAUUUCCUAAAUGUGUUUUUAUAUUCAGGAUCUCUCUUUGAUUCCUCCCUUAUUUGACCGCCUAAUUUUGAUGGUAAUCAUUUUCUGUUGCUUGCCAUUGAUGUAGUUUUGGAGAGCUAGUUUCAGUUCUUGUUUCAGUUUUGUCAUAUGCAACCGUAUGUCAGUUUAGGUUAUUGAUGGCCUUCCAGCAGAAUUCGUGCUUGGCAAGGAUGGCCAGCCUCCGCGCAAGGAUUUGAUGGAUGCCAUGCCUUACACUCAUUCAUUGCUGUCUAGUGGAAUGGCAAUUGGGUACCAUGCAAAGGCUGCGCCUCCAACUGUUACUAUGCCUCGCUUGAAGGCUAUGGUUUCUGGGGCAAUUGGGGGAUUCUUGGAUGUGGCUUUCAAUUUUAAUACACAGGCUCUGUUGGAUGACAACCUUCUUGGUCAGUUUUUAAGGAUUGGUUGGAAAAUGGUGAUGCUUGGUGAUGAAACAUGGCUUAAGUUGUUUCCAGGAUUAUUUGUGAGACAUGAUGGAGUUAGCAGUUUUUUUGUAGGUUUAUCUACAUCACUGAUUGUUUAUACAUUUCUUUUCUGCUAGUUCACGUUGCAUCUUUCUUAUAAAUGCUCUCUCGGUUGAUCGUGAGUGCUUCUUGUCAAUGUUGAUGUCAUGCUGGUUAAACUUUUGAGUUCUUACAUAUUCUGUCACCAGUAUGGCUUGUAGAAAUUUUGCAUAUUCAAUGAAGAUUGUAGACUAGUUAUUGAAAUCUGGAGGGGUCUAUUUAGUUCCAUGUUUUCUUAAAACAUUCUUCUAUCCUAUCCUAACUGAUCAUUUCUGUUUGGGGUAGGCGGAAAUCUCAAGUCAAUAAAUAAAAUGUUUUUUGUUGUUAAUUUUAGGUGUAUUAGCAGGCCGUCUUGCUUAUUAUAUAAACAGUUUGGGUGUGACUUGUUUAUAAUGUAAUUCUCGCUUCUACUUAAAGUUUUAUCUCUCUACAGGUUAAAGACACAGUACAAGUAGAUCAAAAUGUUUCUCGGCAUUUGGAGAAUGAGCUUAGCAGGGAUGACUGGAAUCUUCUGGUUGGUGUUUGCGUUUGUUUGUCAAUAAUUUACUUUGAUUCUAGACAUUGAAUUUACAGCCUUUGUAAGACUUGAUAAUAGUGCACUUUCAUACUGCUUUUUCAAACUUUUUAAAUUAUUUUUUUUUUCAAUUUUAAAUAUAAUACUCUCUUGCACAUGUUGAUUUUUCGGUUUGGGGAUAUUGGUUCAUUUUUCUGCUAAAGUUAACCAAUUUGUUGCGGCAUUGAAGAACUAGAUUGAUAUCUUUGUUUUGUGCUUUUAUGUAGUUGGUAAUGAGUAAUUCAAUUUCUUUGAGGCAUGUUGCAUUUUUCUCAAGUGGUUUGAUUUUCAUUCGAGUUUAUUUCUAGGUUCUUCAUUAUCUAGGCUUGGAUCAUGUUGGACAUAUUGGUGGGCGCAGCAGGUAUUUCCUUGUCCAUUGGCACCAACAAUUCUAUUAAUGAGUUUUUAGCUUUUAUUUCUUGAGCUUCACUAGGAUGUUUGUGCAACUACUUUAGUUCCUUAAUGGGUCCAAAACUUCUGGAGAUGGAUGAAGUGGUGAAGAUGAUUCAUUUAAGCACUAUCCAGACUCACGAUAAUGAUCGAGGACGGACACUUCUGGUGGUAGUAAGUGAUCAUGGCAUGACAGAAAGUGGUAAUCAUGGGGGUUCUUCAUAUGAAGAAACUGACUCUUUAGCUCUUUUUAUUGGCCUGGAAAAUCAGGUCUCCAUCUCUCAUUAUGCAUCAGCUACUCAUAAUUCCAUUCUCCAGGUUGACAUUGCUCCAACACUGGCUCUUCUAUAUGGUGUGCCAAUUCCUAAAAACAAUGUCGGUGUCCUGAUUUCAGGAACUUUUGAUUGUUUGACAGAUCAUCAACAGCUGAGGGCACUGGAGUUGAAUUCCUGGCAGUUAUACCGAUUAGUGGAAGCACAGUUACCCGGUCUUUCAUGUGGAGAUUUCUCCUGCAGUGGCUUCAUUGAUGAUCUGGGUUCAGGAAGUGGGGAAUAUAGUGGCAGUAUGGAGAAGAUACUUUGUUGCUUAUUUAUGAAUGCUGCGAAUCUUCAUAAUUCCUGGAAGUAUAAGAAAGAAACAGGGUUUGAAAGCAGGGAAGACUAUAGAAGCACCGUUGCAGCAUAUCAUGAGUUUCUGAAAGCUGCAAGUGAGUGGUUAUCACGCAGAGUCACUGAUAAACCUGUUCCCUUACUUGCUUUUGGGGUUGUGGCAAUGGCCUUAUCAUGUUUGAUAUUUUUGGAUCUCAUAACUUGCAUGAGCAGAGAAGUUUACACUGGGGAGAAGCAACACCUUUCUGGUUCGAGUAACAGCAAAAUUAGAUGGUGUUUAGAUGAAGCCUUUAUUUUAGGUGUUGUUUUGAUCCUUGUUAUGAGUAUGGGUUCGAGUUCUAUGGUAGAGGAAGAGCAAUAUAUUUGGAAUUUUGUUAUAUCUACAUUGUAUCUGUUACUACUCCGAAAAGCAGUACAAUCGCACAGUGGGAGAAGUGGAAGUGCAUUAUUUUUGAAGGCACAGAAUAAAAGAAGUGAUUUUCAACUGUGUGCCAUCUUUUUGCUUCUUAUUUCUGGACGAAUUUUGAGGGGUUGGCAUCAGGGUGGUGUAAAUUGGACUCAUCUUCCGGACAUUUCAAAGUGGCUUGAACAGGCUGGGAGUAACCUUAUAAGAUCAAUUCAACUAACCUCAGUCCUUCUGAUGAUGGGUUUGGGCUCAUUUGCUUUAUUUUUGUUUGUAACUAAUACAAAGCUUGUUAGAGUGGUGGUACUUUUUUUUUUGAUAUCUGGAUUUCUGGUUUUAUGGCAUAUUAUGGAGUACCAAGACAAUGAAUUUGUGUCAUCCAAUUACCAUGCUACACUGCUGGCACAGGUAAUCUAUGCAACGCUGGGUAUUGGCACAAUUGGCUUUGUUGUGGCCUUACCAUGGCUUAUACCCAUUCAGAUAUCCAGUACAUAUUGUAAACAUAAAAUCAACUCAUCAACUUUAGUUUCUGUUGACAUUCAAUACAAGUUUCCAUUGCUCGAAUUUAGAGAUUCUUCAUAUUUAAUUGGGUUGGCAUACAUGUUAUGUUGGUGUCUUCUGCAACUUUUGCUCCAACAGCCAAUCAAUUCAAUGCCUAUCUUUUUGCUUCUCAUGCAAAUCUUUACCAGCAUGCUGUAUUACUCCUCCAGCGGGCCACAGAAUAAGGAAUGGCUUGAGGUUAGUUCCUAUAUCAUGUCUUGCUAUGACUAACAACGGGAUCUGUUAGCUUGAACUCUUGUUAACUUUGACUGAAUUGUUUGCAUUGUUUAGUCAAUUGCAUCAAGAAUUAGGCGGAAGUUGCCAACUAAUGCUUGUAGAGUCUUUGAUAUCUUAAGCUGGAAUGGUAUGAGAAGAUUAGUGUUUGAUAUCAAAUUUCCUGACUCGAGUUUAAUGUGAAUAAGAUUUGUGUUCCCUAAAGAAUGUGAUGGAUACUAGUGACCUUGUUCUUGCUGUGUCUUUGCAUUAAUUUGUUGGUUUGGGUCAAAUAGAUAUGCAUUGAAUUAUGUUCUGAUAAAAAAGUUGCGAAUUUUGUUUGUGAAAAGGCUGACUCCAUCCCAAUUUGCAAGUACUAAUGUUGGGUGUUUUUUAUUUUAUGGGUUCUCUUAGGUUGCUUUGUUGUACUAUAUGGGAAUGGCGGGACAUUUCGCUCUUGGGAACAGCAAUACAUUAGCCACCAUUGAUGUCGCUGGAGCUUUUAUUGGCCUCUCAAGUCACUCGACCUUACUUUCUGGUAUUUUGAUGUUUAUUAUCACCUAUGCAUCCCCCAUGCUAGUUCUUCUUAGCAUGGUGAUGUACAUCUCUGUGAAGGACACGAGCUAUCUGGCAAUUCCACAAAGUGUAGAUUUAGAGCAAUUUCUAAAAAUGAUGCUUGGCUUUCCUUGCCUAGUUCCGCUAGGCUUGAAUUCCAUUCUGUUGACUGCAUACACUGUUGUAUUGCUGUUAAUGAGGAACCAUUUAUUUGUUUGGAGUGUCUUUUCUCCCAAGUACUUGUAUGUGUGCGCGACAACUGUUUGCAUCUAUAUAGGGGUCUUUGUGGUGGCUGCAACUGAGAUUUAUAUAUAUAUGGUGAUAGCCUUUCGGAGAAAGAUUCAGGUUUCAAUCAGUAAUGGCAUUCUAUAGCUUCGGAUGACAAAAAACCCCAGUUUUGAUACUCUCUUAACCAAUCAUCACUGAUCAGUUCUUGAGACAUCAGCUGACCAUUUUCCCCUUCAUUUUUUUUUCGUUCUCUAUAUAUUAUUUCUUUGAUUAUUGAGAAAAAUAUGGUAUACAGUACACACUUGUAAUGAGCGAUACAGAAAGUUGCUUUAUUCAAUAGUUUGGCCAACUCAGUUCUAGUGGUGUUCAUGUGAUUAAAUGAUGGGAAUGUGGAUUUUAGUCCUAAAUUUCACCUUGAAUUUUGUACAUUUUAAUUUUGCAAUGUGGUAUUUUGAACUAUAAUUCCAUGCAAUCCAAUAUUAGAA